AACGAACGCUGGCGGCAUGCCUAGCACAUGCAAGUCGAACGAGACCUUCGGGUCUAGUGGCGCACGGGUGCGUAACGCGUGGGAACCUGCCCUUAGGUUCGGAAUAACUCCCCGAAAGGGGUGCUAAUACCGGAUAAUGUCUUCGGACCAAAGAUUUAUCGCCUUUGGAUGGGCCCGCGUUGGAUUAGCUAGUUGGUAGGGUAAAAGCCUACCAAGGCGACGAUCCAUAGCUGGUCUGAGAGGAUGAUCAGCCACACUGGGACUGAGACACGGCCCAGACUCCUACGGGAGGCAGCAGUGGGGAAUAUUGGACAAUGGGCGAAAGCCUGAUCCAGCAAUGCCGCGUGAGUGAUGAAGGCCUUAGGGUUGUAAAGCUCUUUUACCCGGGAUGAUAAGGACAGUACCGGGAGAAUAAGCUCCGGCUAACUCCGU
rnacentral:rRNA from 1 species